UCAACCCUCAAGCUCGGCUUGUCGUUGGGUCACACCGUUGAAGAAACGGUGGAUCCAAAAGACAAUGGCAGAGUCCGUGGGACCCCGAAUGCAGCGAGCUCUUUGGCACGCAUCUGGACGGUCUUCGGGCUCGGUCUGAACCAUUUCUAA
rnacentral:misc_RNA from 1 species